CUUCAUAACUGUCACAUGAAAUUUGACAAAACAGCAAUCAACAUAUAGAUUCCAGUUCAAAGAUACAGUAAAAGUUAAUGGGUUUUAGGGAAAUUAAUAUUAAAGAAUAAAUGGCAUCAUUAUUGCAAAACAGUGUGAAUAGAAAUGGUUUAAUGUCUCAUGGGAUCUGUAAGGAAAGUGCUGGUAUCGUAGUAUGGAUCCCUAAAGAAACAGCUGCAGUUUGCCAUUAAGGCUGUGUAACGGACCGUUUCUCUCACAAGGGGAUAAAAUCGGUUUAGGCGAUAAUCCCCUUUCCCAUAGACCAGCAGCUACUGCAAUCACCAACCUCCUGAACUCCAAACUGCACGUAUUCACCAACUCUCGAACAGCAGACACAGGAACCCUGGAAGCAGCCGAAC